CAGCCAAUCCUGCUCUGAUUCACCUCUGGGCUCCCUCAGGACCACUUUGUCAAUGUCCAGCUUCCUCAGUCUCCAACCAUGGGGAUCCCAGUGAUUAAUGCCAAAGCCCUGUUGCCUGGGGAGAGGGUGAUGCUUGACUUUCUUGUACAGCUGCAGUUUGUGUGGUGAAGGUGCUCCCACAAUGUGGUUGGGAUACUACAGGUGGACAUUCAGAUGGUAAUCUCAGUCAUUGUAACACUAAACUCUGAUUGAAUUAGUCAAUUCAUCAGGACCUGGAUAUUCGCAUUGUGUGGUGCUACAUGGUGAAGGUUUGCAGACUGAAAUCUCAAAAUCAUGUGCAGAUUGUGAUUAAGUUAACCAGCAUUUGAAGAACCAAAGAUAGAGAAUCACUUGGCCAAAAUCCAGCAACACUCUCCCUCCCAGCAUUGUCUGUCACUCUGCACCAAAUGGACUGUGAAUGGUUCAAGACAGCAGCUCACUCCCAUCUUCUCCAGGGUAACUAGAGAUGGGGAAUAAAUGCUGGCUGAGCCAGUGAUGCCCAUAUCCUGGAAAAGGGUUCUAUCUCUCGUUGCUGAAAUCCCGUUGAUGUUACUGCAGGAUGAAGAGGGAUGCUGAGUGUAUCCUCCAGGAGGCAGCACCAUCACAUUACCCCUGCCUCCACCCACACAGUAACACCGCAACGUCACUGGUACAAAAGGCAGUGAAACCAAAGGAGGACUUAGAUAUAGUUCUUCGAGGUAAAGUCAUGAAAGGGGAUUGGAACACAGCAGGAACAGGAGACUGGAUGGUCAGCUGUUUCCCAUUGAAUGGUGGAGCAGGAUUGAAAGGCUGAAUGGCCUUCUGCUGCUAUCUCCCAGGUAUGUAUAUAGCCAUGGAGCCCAGGUAGGAAGGAGUGGGCAGGGAUUCUCCAGGAGAUUGCACUUCCCCAACAGUUUUCAGUGAGGGAUGGUUUGAUGGAUUUUAUUUAACAUUUAUC